AGGUCUCAGUUCAGAUUGCAGGCUGCAACCCGCCUGCAUGAAGUCGGAAUUGCUAGUAAUCGCGGAUCAGCAUGCCGCGGUGAAUACGUUCCCGGGCCUUGUACACACCGCCCGUCACACAUGGGAGCCGGUAAUACCCGAAGUCAGUAGUCCAACCUCGUGAGGACGCUGCCGAAGGUAGGAUUGGCGACUGGGGUGAAGUCGUAACAAGGUACC
rnacentral:rRNA from 1 species